UCAGGUCUCUGACUGUGACAUCAGCAUCCUGUCACUGCUCCAUAAGGUGCUCAGUGUCACUGGAGGCCUGGGAUGCCUGUGAAUGACAACAGCCAUUGCAACAGCUUUAAAAGACUUUCAAAAUGGAAAUGUUUGCAAUGGCUAGGCAUUCAACCAGUUUGGAAGGUUAAAAUCCCAUAGUUAGGAUCCUGGGGAUUUCUAAUUUUCUCUUCUUUUUUCAGAGGCUUUUUUCCAGAGGUCAGGGUCAAGGCUACAGUUAAGGGGUCCUCACCGCAGAUCCGCAGAGCCUUGCUCAGGAUCCGCACUGCUGAAAGGAUCACGCUGCCUGUUUACCAAUGAAGAGAUCCGAAGAGAGUGCUUGGUGGCAAGUACCCACAGUCUUACAUCAAUGCCUUUGGAGUAAGAGCUGUUUUCCUCAUCACUAUUCUACAGACAGAAAAGCUCCUGGAGUUUUAGUGACUCA